GUGAGGUGUCCGAGUGGCUGAAGGAGCACGCCUGGAAAGUGUGUAUACGUUUACGCGUAUCGAGGGUUCGAAUCCCUCUCUCACCGCCAG
rnacentral:tRNA from 1 species